AAGAGAGGUUAGAACAACAGGAACUGCUAAUUACCUGUAACCAUGGUUCAAUUCCAAGGCUCGCUUA
rnacentral:tRNA from 1 species